CAAAGAAAGAAAAAUGGCUUUGCAGGCCAUUGCUAGUUUUGAAAAUGGAAGGGAUUCGAAUCAUGGUCCAAGGAAUGCAGACAGCCUUCAGAAGCUGAAAAAGGCGAGAAAAUGGGUUUUCCUAAAGUCUCCAGAAAGAGCACAGCCCUGCUGACACAUUUUCCAUAGCUGCCACUUCCCCUUAAGGCAACGCCUGCUUCAAGUCUGUCUGGUGACCUAAAUGGAGGAGAGGUAACAGGGUAUAAUGGAAUGAGCAUGUUCUCCUACCUUGAAUCGUAUAGUAAGGAAGAAUUUCCUGGGACAGAUAUUCAUCAAUGAACUGGAUUUCCCGUGCAGAAGCACCUAUUCUAUUAUGGAAAUUAUUGAGCAGUA